rnacentral:rRNA from 1 species
GACAGAGGAUGCAAGCGUUAUCCGGAAUGAUUGGGCGUAAAGCGUCUGUAGGUGGCUUUUCAAGUCCGCCGUCAAAUCCCAGGGCUCAACCCUGGACAGGCGGUGGAAACUACCAAGCUGGAGUACGGUAGGGGCAGAGGGAAUUUCCGGUGGAGCGGUGAAAUGCGCAGAUAUCAGGAGGAACACCGGUGGCGAAGGCGGGUCUCUGGGCAGUAACUGACGCUGAGGAGCGAAAGCGUGGGGAGCGAACAGG